CCAAAUGUGAAGUCCUUUCCAGGGCUUGUAAUACUCUGCAUAACUUUACCCAUAGCUACCUCUUUCACUCAUUUUCUUCCUUUUUCUCUUUCUUUCCAGGAUCUAGAAGAGUGCCUGGUGGACACCAGAUACAUGUUAUUAAGUUAGGAAAAUGAAUUAAUUCCUUCAUAUAUUUUCAUUUGUCUCCUCAAGUGAGGAAAAGAAGUCAGCAUAGUUUACAUCAAGGAGAUCUCCUGACUCUAAAAUGUCAGAUCCAGAUGGAGUCUGGGGAGCUGCUCCAGGGGUUCAGGACAUCCCCCUGCUUUAUGCAUGGGCAAUUAUUAGGAAAACUUGAUACCACCUAAGACCUGUGAUUCAGCCCAUCAGGUUCUGGACAUCACCUUGGGCAUUUAUAGCCUGGGUUCCUGUGCUAGGAGCUGGGCCUGGGCCUCCUAAUUGCCUGAAUUAUCUUCCAUUUUUGCAUCUGGGACAAAGUCAAGUCCACAGGCAAGCCUGAUCUGAGGGUAUCCUCAAAUACGGAACUGCACAGCAAGUAUAGGAAGAAAAAUUCUAAGGUAACCACUGUCUUUCUGGCCAGAAGAGGGGAUGAGGACCUUCUGUCAGCUGUCACCAGGGGUAGAGGGGAAGAUCAGCACUUUUUCUUGUUUUCCUCUUCUGGCCCUGCCUCAAGAGCCCAGCCACAGAUCUGCGAAGUAGUAGUGGUAGCAGGCCUACAACCUCAAGAGAAACCCCCCUUUCCCCUCUCUCUGACCAGAAAAACUGAGAAAAUGGUACCAUGACAUCCAAAGGAAUGGUGUUCAGGACAGGGACCUCAGUUUUUUCUUUUUUCUGUCACUGUUUUGCCCCAGCAAGAUCGUUCACACAGAAAUAAGCAAUAGAGCAGGUGGUUAAAACUCUGAGCUCUCUCUUUCUAUUCAGUGGAUAGGUAAAAGGGUCCCUGGAAACGGUUGAGUACGUGAGAAAUCCUGUAGAGAAGAUAGCCGGGAAAGAGGGUUCCCUGACUCUGUGUAUGAAGUGACACAAGUUCCAGAUUCAUCCUUGAAAUGCACAUUCAUGGAACAGACCCAAAGCAUAGUAUCAGAGGCUGUGAGAACUUAACUCUAAUAUACACUGAAACCCUAGUCUCACAAUGACCCCUCAGAAGUGUGUGUAUGAGAUAGACCCAAGGCAGCAGAACAAACACUUAAAAAAUUGAACUUACAUUAGAAAUACAGCUUGAAGAAGUUGAAACAGAACCUGUGGUCUGAAACUAACUAGACUGAUGGCAAAACACAAUAAAACAAAUUGUGCUUUCUCCAAAGGUUUUAACAGGACUCAAGAGUUUCAUGAAAUAACACACAAAAUGAGUAUGGUACAGUCUAAAAGUAUUCAACAUACAGAGGACCAGGAAAAUAUGAACAAUUCUUAAAGGAAAAAAAAAUCAACAAAUAAAAACUGCAACAUGACCUAUAUGUUGGGAUUAUCAGAUUUUAAAGCAACUCCAUGUUCCAAAAGUAAUGCUAAAUUCCUUUGAAAUUAAUAAAAAAUUAAUAUUAGUGUUAGAAAUUAUAAAAAUACUAGAAGUGAAAAAGGUAAACAUCUGGAAUAUUAAAAAAAUCACUAGACAGACACUAUAGCAGAAUGGAGAUGGCAGAGGAAAGAUUCAAAGAACUUGAAGACAUAAACAGAAAUUAUACAUUUGUAGAAAAAAGAAAAAAAUAUUGAACAAAAUAUAACUCAGGGACCCAUGAGAUGACAAACUUGAAAGGCUUAAUUCAUAAUAUUUUAAAAUAUUUUUAAAUUUUUUUCUCUCCUUUUAGGAAUCCAAUGACCCAAAAGCUAGACUUUUUUGAUACUGUAUUUUGAUUUUGAUUUUACAAUUAGUUUCAUGAAUCCACAGAGCCUUAAAUAUUUUAUAAAUAUAAAAGUUCAUUUUAAGACUAUUUCCAUGUCUCCAUAAUUUAAGAAAUCCAACUGAUUCAUUUUCAUGAAGAGAAUCCGAAAUCCUCUUGUGUCACAAGCAUUAAAAAAAAAUAAAAACAAUUUAGUUUCUGGCAGUGGCAUGUUAGAUAUUCAGAAAAAAAAAAAAACCCUAGGAGUUCUGGAUAAAAUAAAACAAAGAUUCUUUUAAAUACAUUGUUAAUCUUGUAUUGAAUAGGGAAUACUCCAGGGAUUGAAAAAAAGUUUCUUAAAAUCAAGAUGCUUUGUUAACUAUGCUGAAUGAAUCUGCCCAUCUUGAUCAUAAUAAAGAUUCAGUAUUCACAUUCAAUUAUUAAGUGUUAGUUACUAAUCCAAGAACAGCAGUAAAAACCUUGGGCAGCAUGAACUAGAGAACUGAAUCUGAAAUAACUGCUUACAGUUGAAAUAACUGCUCUCAAAUAAUGAGAGGCUAGAGUAGGAAAAAAAAGAUAUACAAAGAUAAGUGUUGUUUUCUUUCUUUUUUGUUUUUUUCUGUCUCAAACUGAGCUCUGGCUGGGAAAAGAUAAUGUCUCUUAAAAAUUAUAACCGCAGGCUUGCCCUCACAUAUAGUUAGAUGUCUAAAUUUAUACUACUUAUAUUAUUAUGGAAACCUCAAGCUGGUAAGUGAAGCUAACAACUGGAUCUCUUACAGCAACUUUCCUGUGCUACCUGGCAGGAAAAAAAAAUCUUAUCUUGAGAAGCUUACCUUCAAUUUUUGCAUUAUGAUACUGUGAUAUAUGAAGGUCCACUAAGCUUUAGUAGUCAAUUCAAAAUACAAAAUCACAAAAUAUGAGGAAAUAUUUUGGGGACUGUCAGCAUAAACUAAAGAGAGCAAUGCAGAUGACAAGACAUUUAUAAAAUAAAGCAAAUGAAGCAUCAGAUUUAAAAAGCAUACCACACCCUAGCUUGAUUCUAACAAAUGAACUUAACACCACAGUGUUCUGAUCCUACAGAACACUGAAGACAAAGCAAAGAUCUUAAAAGAAACAAGA